GAUGAAGAACGCAGCGAUAUGCGAUACGUAGUGUGAAUUGCAGAAUUCAGUGAAUCAUCGAAUCUUUGAACGCACAUUGCACCUCUCGGUAUUCCGGGAGGUAUGCCUGUUCGAGCGUCAUUUGUACCCUCAAGCUCUGCUUGGUGUUGGGUGUUUGUUCCGCCUCUGUGUGUGAACUCGCCUCAAAACAAUUGGCAGCCGGCGUACUUGUUUCGGAGCGCAGCACAUUUUGCGAUCCAGAUCAACGUACAGCGGCAUCCAAGAAGCCUUAUUUAACGCUCUUGACCUCGGAUCAGGUAGGGAUACCCGCUGAACUUAAGCAUAUCAAUAAGCGGAGGA
rnacentral:misc_RNA from 1 species